rnacentral:rRNA from 1 species
UGAGUAACGGCGAGCGAAAAGGGAAGAGUCCAGCGCCGAAUCCCCCGCUCGAGAGAGCGGUGGGAAAUGUGGCGUUUGGGAGUGAGCGUUCCGGGGUCAUGACCGUGCAGCAAGUCCCCCUGACCGGGGCUGUUACCCAAAGUGGGUGCGAGGCCCAUAGCUGCUGCGUCUGCUCCGGAUGCGAUCUCCUCGGAGUCGGGUUGCUUGGGAGUGCAACCCUAAUCGGGUGGUAAACUCCACCUAAGACUAAAUACGACCGUGAGACCGAUAGCAAACAAGUACCGUGAGGGAAAGUUGCAAAGAACUUUGAAGAGAGAGUUCAAGAGUACGUGAAACUGCUCAGAGGUAAACGGGUGGGCCCUCGAAAUCCUGUGGCGGGAGGAUUCAGUCGGAGACGACGCUAGUAGAGCCAGACUAGUACCUGGGUUCCCAGUAUCGGGACCCGUCUGGCACCGUUCGGCAAUGGAUUCGA